rnacentral:lncRNA from 1 species
GUUAAACAAUAUCAAUCAGGUUACAUUUCUCAUCAAUAUCUAUCAAAUUACAAUAACUUGUAUGUACUCUAAAAAUAUUAAACCAAAACCAAACAAAAAUAACACUAAUAAUGCCCAUAAUAAAGGUAAGUAAAUAAAAGAAAACAUUUGGCUGUUACAGAAUGAUAGCUCCGUUACACAAGACAUCCUUUACAAAAUGAUAGCUAUGAGAUGGAUUGUUUUUGCUCCAUUAAGAUAUCUAGUUGAUGCAAAUAACAACAUCAUGGUUCCCUUCUUGGUCCUCUUUGUCUUUCCUACACAAUUUGACAGCAACCUGGAAAGACAAAAAACAUACAAUUAAUAUACAUGAAAGAUGAUGAAAUUUCCUUUCCACUAAGUACUAUUGUACUACAUGUUCAACUUGAAAGUAAAUAGCAUCAUGCAUGAAACAUAGAAGCCGAAUUAAUAUACAGACAACUAACUUUGAGGUGAAUAAAUUCUAUUUGCAGGCAUGUAAACUUGGUAUCCUUACCGAAAUGUCAAACUAGGAAUAACCAAGGUUGAACAAAAGACGCGACCCAAAGUUUUGAGAAAUAGUUGGAUGAUUGAACCAUUUCAUGACUUUCUUCACGUGAUUUAUAUCACAGGGUGAAAGAAAUGUUCUGCACCGAACGAUUUAUGUUAUGCUAUCAAACUGAAAAUAAUUCAUGUCGAGGUGCACAACAAGGAACAUAAACAAAUGUUGUAGCUAUAGUUGUGUUGCCUGCUACACUCAUCUAGUAAAAAUUUCAGGACACUAAGUAUUAGCUGCCUUUCAACAAUCAUGACAAAGAAAAGAUAUAUUCUCACGUUUUCUUUCUAAAUCAAGUCUUAAUGUGGCAUUUUUCUCAAAGUACCAUCAUAGUUAAGAUUUAUAGCUCAGUUCUAUGUUCCAAGUUUAAGCACUAUGCGAGUUACUAAUGAUAAUACACUAAGGAAGUUUCUUUUGACAACCAAGGUCAACCAAAUUAACCACUAUGCAGAAGGUGUGCUCAUGCAUAACAACUACACCAUUUUCUUCACAAAGCGCAUAGUACGUGUAAAUUAACAUAAGCAUGCACAUGUGAAAGGAAAAAAACAAUUCUUCCAAAGAAAAAUCGUUGUAUUGCUGGGAUAUAGUUAACAUGCGUACAAUAGUGGAGGGAGCUCAUCCGAUUAGAGAUCCGACUAUGCAUAGAGUAGCACAUAGUUUGGCCCCUGCUGCAUAGGGGGGUAGCGCCAGGAUCUGAUUAGAGAGACGCACGUGGACGCACGUGGAGGCACAUGAGCACGUCUGCACGGGCGCAAGUCUAACAAUUCCUGCAAGUAAAAGAAUCAGCCGAUAUCAUCUAAACAAAGAAAAAUAAAUAUUAACAGCCUCCACGGUGUAAACUAACCACCAGAUGAAAAACGACAGAAUCAAAAUAUUUUAUAGUAAAAAACGUGAGAGCAUAAUAAGUGCACUAAACCUGAACGUUGCACCUGAGGCCCCUUGCACCUCAACAUGGAUAAAACCUGAUAAGUUUCUCACAUAAUCACUUCAUCUCUUUUACAUCUGUCCGAUCCCUUAUUCUUUUCUUCACAUUUGGAACUAAAACAAACUUUAGUAGUAUAUAAAAGUAAAUAAUGUAUAAUUCGGAAAAAUACUCAAGUAUUAUAUAGAAAACAUUCAUGUAUACAAAGGCUAAAAUGAUAAGGGAAAAUAGUAUCUAAUAACUGUAAAAUCUGUAGAAGCAUGAUUGUAAAUUCGAAACUGCUAACAUACUCCAUCCGUUCCAAAAUAUAACUCUUUUUAGAGAUUCCAUUAUGGACUACGUACGGAGAAAAACGAAUGAACCUACACUCUGAAAUAUGUCUAUAUACAUCUGCAUGUAGUUCUUGGUGGAAUUUUGAGAAAGACUUAUAUUUAAGAAUGGAGGGAGUAUAUCUAAAUAACCAUGAGUGAUGCUAUAUCAUCCUACCAAAAAUCUAUCUUCUGGAUUGGAGCAUUGAGACUAACAAUUUAAGAAACACUUGCAGCCUACAACAAGAAAUAAGGAGGAGGCGUAGGAACAAGAAUGUAUUGGUUGCGGGGAGAGAAAAAGUAAACGGUACCUUGUUGUUGGAUGGAAAGAGUAACAAAGCUCCAGCCUCAACUCUCACCUAGUUCAUAGCAUGAACAUUGAAUAUACUCGUGUGUUUGCAAGAAUUCUACAAUGCUUAACUAAAAUUCUUGAACAUGAGUACUCUUAUUUGGACUUUUUGUGGAAACUGAAGCUAGUUCUCAGGGUUGUUCCUCUUAUCAAAGCAUAGAUCCGGGAAUACAUUUAUAUAUAUAAAAAGUAAUGAUUUUUCAUAGGAUGAAUACCCUUGCAUUGACCUUCAAGCACACAUAGCAUAAUAUGAUAGUCUGGCAACAAUUUGAAUAUCACAGAUUCACAAUUCACAAGCUCUAAUGUACAAAUCAAUCACAAACAGUUCAGAUUUUUUUAGCUAAUUAAGGUUUCCUUGCAACACUGAAAGAAAUACCUGCAGUUAUCAUCCUCAUCCUCUCAUCUCCAGGAGUCACACGAGUAGUAGCCCCUGUUCUUGACGUACUGCUCAAGCGCGAGCUCCAACUGAGGCACUGCUUGCUGGAUAGAAGUACUACCACAAGUCAUGGCUGAUCUUCUUAUGAACAAAAGUAAACAAAUCAACUAACGGCAGCACCGAUUGUAGAUGAGUGGAGAGGGAGAGGAGAGGAAAAUGAACAAUAACUCCCGGGCGAUGGGAAGCAGCAACAGUCAACGGCCAGAUCCCCUUCAAAUCAACCGACAAAUACAGAUCGGGGGAGGCCCAUGGCGUGGCGGCGGCGAUGCAGCGCCUGGGUGAUGACCAGGGUUUGACUGCAGUCUCCCAGGUGACCCAUGUCUCUCCCAUCCCUGGAUCUGAGAGGAGCGACGGCGUACACCAUAGGGCCUUGGCGGAUGAAGAUGACAGGGCACCAGCUAGGGUGGCUAGCGUUGGGCUGCAGGAGGAUGAAUGGGACAGGGCCACAACCGUUCGGGCUACUAGCGGCCGGCGGUGGAGGGAGCGAGUGAGGGCGCGCCGGCGGCCGAGGGAGCGAGUGAGAGGAUAAGGUUUAGGGAAUUUGGAUCUGGGAGAGCUGAAUGGAAAAAACUACACGGAGGCUUGGCGCUAAGAGUAUCUCCAACAGCCGCGCUACGCGCCGCGCCCAAAAAAUGCAUUUGCCGCGCGCGCUUCGGCUGGUUUAGCGCGGGGACAUGCGCUGGCUCCAACAGCCGCGCUAUAAUGCAGCGCGCGCGCCGCUCCAGCAGUGCCCAAAAAUGCAGCGCGCACAAUAUUUUUUUUAAUACAUAGAUUGCAUUCAAAUAAAAAGGAUAUAAAGUUUUUGCAACUAGAUAGGUAGUUGGAAAAACAUAGAUAGAUAUUCGGCGCUAUAUAGUUCGAAAACAUAUUAAAAAAACUAAUCCCAGUCGCUCCAGUCAUCUGCACCAUCGUCGUCGUCGUUGGUGUCGUCAGAGGUCGACAGCUAGCAGUCGAACCAACGCUCAUCUUCUUCAGUGAAGAAGGACCUCCCGCCUGCAUUGACGAGGUCGGCCUGCGCACACGCCAACGCCUUCCGACGACGCCUAUCCAAACGCUCCUCGCGGCGCCGGCGCGUGUCCUCCUCACGGCGACUUGCCCAAUAUUGCUGCUCGUAGGCGACGUCCUCCGGGUGGCGCCGGCGCCACUCCGCCAUGACCCGCUCGUCCUCCUGGGCGACGAGGAGGCGGCGCUGCAGCGCAUUGUGCUCCGCACGAUCUUGUGCGGAGUUCAGACGAGGCGGCGGGGCGAGGUCUAACGCCUGCUGUAGCGUCUGGACGUCCUGGAAAUUCAUUUGGCGGGCCGGCCUACCUAGGCGCCACGCCGCCGCGUCGAACGCGCGGGCGGCCUCGUGCGCCGUGUCGUACGUUCCGAGGCUAAGCCGUAGAUCGCCGGAGCGUAUCUCGGCGUAGAAGCCGCCGUGGGGGCGCUGGCGGNNNNNNNNNNNNNNNNNNNNNNNNNNNNNNNNNNNNNNNNNNNNNNNNNNNNNNNNNNNNNNNNNNNNNNNNNNNNNNNNNNNNNNNNNNNNNNNNNNNNCACCAUGUUCAAGUAGAGGGUACAACGGGUUGCGGGAGAGUGAACCGCUGAAUAUAGAUGGGGGAAGAUGAUGGAGAUGUUGGUGAAGAUGAUGGAGGUGUUGGUGUAGAUCGCCGUCACACGAUGAUGUCCCGGGCGGCGUUCCGGCGCCGCCGGAAGAGAGGGGGAGAGAGCCCCCUCCUUCUUCUUCUUCCUUGACCUCCUCCCUAGAUGGGAGAAAGGUUUCCCCUCUGGUCCAUGGUCUCCAUGGUGGCGGAUGGGCGAGAGCCCCUCCGAGAUUGGAUCUCUCUCUCUGUGUCCUUCUGUUUUUGCGCUCCCAGAUUCUGCGUUUCACCGUUUAUUAAAUUCCCGGAGAUCCGUAACUCCGAUUGGGCUGAAAUUUUAACACGGUUUUCUUCCGGAUAUUAUCUUUCCAACCGCCUUAAGGAGUGGCCACAAGCCCGCCAGCCGCCACCGUACCUCCUCGUGGCGGCUACAGGGCUUGUGGGCCCUCCGUGCAUCGCCUCGCGUUGAUUCUUCUUCCCAAAAAUCAUAAAUAUUCCAAAAAAAUCCCCGUAAGUUUUUAUUACGUUUGGACUUCGCUUGGUAUGGAUAUUCUAUGAAACAAAAAACAUGCAACAAACAGGAACUGGCACUGGGCACUGGAUCAAUAUGUUAGUCCCAAAAAUAGUAUAAAAAGUUGCCAAAAGUAUAUGAAAGUUGUAGAAUAUUGGCAUGAAACAAUCAAAAGUUAUAGAUAUGACGGAGACGUAUCAGCAUCCCCAAGCUUAAUUCCUGCUCGUCCUCGAGUAGGUAAAUGAUAAAAAAGAUAAUUUUGAUGUGAGAUGCUACCUAGCAUAAUCUUGAUCAUAUAAUCUAAUCAUGGCAUGAAUACUAAAACACGAGUUAUUCGAAGCAAUAGUCUAUCAUUUGAGAUAAAGACAAUAAUAUUUCAAGCAUACUAACAAAGCAAUCAUGUCUUCUCAAAAUAUCAUGGCCAAAUAAACUUAUCCCUACAAAAUCAUAUAGUCUGGCUAUGCUCCAUCUUCCCCACACAACGUAUUUAAAUCAUGCACAACCCCGAUUUUAGCCAAGCAAUUGUUUCAUACUUUAGUGUUCUCAAACUUUUUCAACUUUCACGCAAUACAUGAGCGUGAGCCAUGGACGUAGCACUAUAGGUGGAAUAGAAUAUGGUGGUCGUGGAGAAGACAAAAAAAGAGGAGAUAGUCUCACAUCAACUAGGCGUAUCAACGGUCUAUGGAGAUNNNNNNNNNNAUAGCACUAUAGGUGGAAUAGAAUAUGGUGGUUGUGGAGAAGACAAAAAGGAGGAGAUAGUCUCACAUCAACUAGGCGUAUCAACGGUCUAUGGAGAUGCCCAUCAAUAGAUAUCAAUGUGAGUGAGUAGGGAUUGCCACGCAACGGAUGCACUAGAGCUUAUAAGUGUAUGAAAGCUCACAAAAGAAAUUAGUGGGUGUGCACCCAACUUGCUUGCUCACGAAGACCUAGGGCAAUUUUGAGGAAGCCCAUCAUUGGAAUAUACAAGCCAAGUUAUAUAAUGAAAAUUUCCCACUAGUAUAUGGAAGUGACAACAUAGGAGACUCUCUGUCAUGAAGAUCAUACUGUUAUUUGAAGCACAAGUGUGGAAAGAGGAUAGUAGCAAUUGUCCCUUCUCUAUUUUCUCUCAUUUUUUUUGUGGGCUCUUUGGCUCUCUUUUUUAUUUUUAUAUUUUUUUUAUUUUGGUGGGCAUCGUUGGCCUCUUUUUUUGUAAAUGGGCUUCGUUGGCCUCUUUUAUUUCCUCACAUGGGACAAUGCUCUAUUAAUAAUGAUCAUCACACAUACAACUCAAUACUUAGAGCAAUGAUGACUCUAUAUGAAAUGCCUUCGGUAGUGUACCGUGACAAUGAUCUAGCAUAGCAAUGACAUCAAAAAAUGGACAAGCCAUGGAAACAUCAUGCUAGCUAUCUUACGAUCAUGCAAUGGAAAUAUGGAAAUGGUGGCACAUGUCAUGGGACGGAACGGUGGUAGUUGCAUGGCAAUAUAUCUCGGAAUGGCUAUGAAAAUGCCAUAAUAGGUAGGUAUGGUGGCUGUUUUGAGGGAGGCUAUAUGGUGGGUGUAAUGCACCGGCGGAAGUUGCGCGGUACUAGAGAGGCUAGCAAUGGUGGAAGGGUGAGAGUGCGUAUAAUCCAUGGACUCAACAUUAGUCGUAAAGAACUCACAUACUUAUUGCAAAAGUCUAUUAGUCAUCAAAACAAGCUACUACACGCAUGCUCCUAGGGGAAAGGUUGGUAGGAGUUAACCAUCGCGCGAUCCCAACCUCCACACAAAGAUUGACAAUCAAUAAAUAAAUCAUGCUCUGACUUCAUCACAUAACGGUUCACGGUUCACCAUACGUGCAUGCUACGGGAAUCACAAACCUUAACACAAGUAUUUCUACGAAUACACAAUUACUCACUAGCAUGACUCUAAUAUCACAUAUUCAUGUCGCAAAACUAUUGCAAGGAAUCAAACAUAUCAUAUUCAGUGAUCUACAAGUUUUAUGUAGGAUUUUAUGACUAACCAUGUGAAUGGCCAACUCCUGUUAACUCUCUAAAUAGGUAUAAGUGAAGCAUGAGAGUUUAAUUCUUUCUACAAAAGAUAUGCCCCGCUCUAACAAAUAUAAGUGAAGCAAAAGAGCAUUCUACAAAUGGCGGUUUUCUAUGUGUAGGGAAACAGGCAAUCCAAACUUAAAAAGAUAUAAGUGAAGCACAAGAAGCAUUCUAUAAAGCAAACCAAGGACUAUCUUAUACCAGCAUGGUGCAUAAAAUAAAAAGGAAAAAAACACAAAAGACGCUCCAAGCAUUUGCACAUAUCAUGUGACGAAUUAAAAGAUAGCUCCGAGUAAAAUUACCGAUAGAUUGUAGACGAAAGAGGGGAUGCCUUACGGGGCAUCCCCAAGCUUAGACGCUUGAGUCUUCCUUGAAUAUUAACUUGGGGUGCCUCGGGCAUCCCCAAGCUUAGGCUCUUGCCUCUCCUUAUUCCUUCAUCCAUCUUGCUCUCACCCAAAACUUGAAAACUUCAAUCACACAAAACUCAACAAAACUUUGUGAGAUCCGUUACUAUAAUAAAAUAAAUCACCACUUCAAGUACUGUUGUGAACUCAUUCUAAAUUCAUAUUAGCAUUAUAUCUAUUGUAAUCCAACUUCACCAUGGUUCAUACCCCCCGAUACUACCCAUAGAUUCAUCAAAAUAAGAGAACAAUGCAUAGAAAACAGAAUCUGUCAAAACAGAACAGUCUGUAGCAAUAUGUAUAUUCCUUAUACCUAUGAUAUCUUAAAAUAUCUGAAAAAUUAUGAACGUCUGGAAAAUUUGCAUAUCAAUCAGAAGAAAAAAGAAUCAACUAAAAACCUCUUCCAGAAUAAAAAUGAAAAUUAAUUUCGUGAGCAGAAAGUUUCUGUCUUUUCUCAGCGUGAUCAAACAACUACCACCCAAACUAAUCGUAAAGGCUUUGCUUGGCACAUUAUUUUUAAAAACACAAAGGAAUUGUACAAGGGGAUAAUUAUUUUCGUGAGAAACUUCCAUGAAAAAUUCUACAUUGUUUCCAUGAGCAUGAACACAAGUGUUCAAGGUCGACCCUCACUUCCGCAAUGCAUCACCUUUCAAUCGCUUCUCUUUUUGAAAAAGUUUUAAGUUCCCCUCUAUAUUUUUUUUGUUUUUAAACUAAAUAAAAGCACUCAACAGAAAUAAAUGACUCUCUAAAACUUCCUGGUUGUCUCCCAGGCAGCGCUUUCUUUAAAGCCAUUAAGCUAGGCAUAAAGUGCUCAAGUAAUGGAUCCACCCGGAUCCCAAGGUAUAUCAAAGCCAAUUUUAAUUAGCAAUGAUUUGAAAUUUAGUAGUGAGCACAAGGUAACAUAUAUCAUGCAAUGACGAAGUCUAACUCUCUUCCUAUGCAUUGGCAUGUCAUAAAAGAACAAUUCAUGCACACCAAGUAAAGGCCAAUACAUAGCAUANNNNNNNNNNNNNNNNNNNNNNNNNNNNNNNNNNNNNNNNNNNNNNNNNNNNNNNNNNNNNNNNNNNNNNNNNNNNNNNNNNNNNNNNNNNNNNNNNNNNGGCCUAUCUUGUACCUUUACUUUUUUCCCUUGUAAGAGUCAUGGUGAUCUUCACCAAUUCCCUAUUUUUUCCUUUGUCUUGGCUACCGUCACAUGCUUGGGAAAGAUCUAUAUUCAUAUAUCAACUUGGAGUUGAGUACUUAUGCUUUAUUAUUGUUGACUUUACCCUUGAGGUAAAUAGUUGGGAGGCAAAACUAUAAGCCCCUAUCUUCCUCCGUGUCCAGCUGAAACUUUGACACCAUGAGUACCACGUGAGUUGUAACAAUUGUGAAAAACAAAAGAGAUGAUUAAGUAUGUGGAUUUGCCUUAAAAGCUGUUACUUGACUCUUUCUGAUGUUGUGAUAAAUUGCAAUUGCCUCAAUGACUUUGGACUAUUGUUGGUUACUUCUCGGUAAGGUUUUUGCUUCAUGCUUUGCUUUGUGAAGGAAUUGUUACUCUCCCAUAAGAAUAUUUAUGAUGUAUUGCUGUCCUAUGUGUGAUCAUGAUGCCCUCAUGUCCGUAUUAUGUUUUAUCGACACCUUCGUCCCUCAACAUGUGGAUAUGUUUAUGGAACUUUGUUUUCGCUUGAGGACAAGCGAGGUCUAAGCUUGGGGGAGUUGAUACGUCCAUUUUGCAUCAUGCUUUCAUGUUGAUAUUUAUUGCUUUAUGGGCUGUUAUAUUACUUUGUGGUACCAUAUUUAUGCCUUUUCNNNNNNNNNNACAGCUGGAAUUCUGGACUGGAAAAGGAGCAAAUCUUAGUCCACUAUUAUGCACAUCUCCAAAUGCCCUAAAAAGUUACGUGGAAUUUUUUGGGAUUAUAUAAAAAAUACUGGGCUAAAGAAGUACCAGAGGGGGGCUACCAGGGCGCCACAAGCCCUGCCACCGCCACCCCUUGGUGGCGGAUGGCAAGCUUGUGGGCUCCCUAACGGCCCACUAGCCCCCCUCUUUUGCUAUAUGAAGGGUUUCAUUCCAGAAAAAAUCAAUCGGGAGCUUUUUCGUGGUUUCGCCGCCGCCCUGAGACGGAACUUGAGCAGAUCCAAUCUAGAGCUCCGGUAGGACGAUCCUGCCGGGGAAACAUCCCUCUGAGAGGGGGAAAUUGUCGCCAUCGUCUUCACCAACGCUCCUCUCAUCGGAGGGGAGGCAUCUUCAUCAACAUCUUCAUCAGCACCAUCUCCUAUCCAAUCCCUAGUUCAUCUCUUGUAACCAAUCACCGUCUCACGACUCCGAUUGGUACUUGUAAGGUUACUAGUAAUGUUGAUUACUAGUUGGAUUACUUGGUGGAAGAGUUUAUGUUCGGAUCCUUGAUGCUAUUCAUUACACCUGUGAUCAUGAUUAUGAUUAUGCUUUGUGAGUAGUUACUUUUGUUCCUGAGGACAUGGGAUAAGCCAUGUUAAUAAUAGUCAUGUGAAUUUGAUAUCCGUUCGGUAUUUUGAUNNNNNNNNNNNNNNNNNNNNNNNNNNNNNNNNNNNNNNNNNNNNNNNNNNNNNNNNNNNNNNNNNNNNNNNNNNNNNNNNNNNNNNNNNNNNNNNNNNNNGGGCGGCGGCUUGGUGAGGUAAGGGUGGGAACGGGGGCGGCUCCGGGGCGGGGUUCUUAUAGGCUAGGAGGGGGAGAUAAGGAAGGGGAGGGAGGGAAAAUCGGGGAAGAAAUCCCGAGGUUCCUGCUCGGGCUCGGUCUCGGUAGAAUAGGAAGGAGGAAGAAGAUGGGUGCCGUGGCAGAGGUUGGCUCGGUCGGUGGGGGCCACUCGGCAGAGAGAGGGAGGCGGGGAAAGGUGCGGCGGUCGGCCGGGAUCUAGGGAAUUAGUCCCUGGCGACGGGGGAUCUCGGCCCAAUGGCCUAAAAAGCGCUCGGGCGGCGGCGGCGGCUAACUUUCCUAUUUUAAACUUUUUUCCGAAUCCGAAAAUAAAAGCAAAUAAAAGGAAAGUAAAUCAAAAUAUUAAUAUAGGGUAUUAUAUACCAAAAAAAUCAGAAAAAUAUUCUCUACCCGAAUAACAUUUUUCCAAAGCAAAAAAAACUUUAAAAAAAAUGUUUUUUCAGAAAUUCACUAAAUUGCUUUUUUUCUUUUUGCAAUUAUUUUUGCAAAUGAACUUUGUAUUUUCUUGGCUCAAAUAUUUCAGAAAUUUGCCCGCACUUUGGAGGGNNNNNNNNNNGAAAAACUUUAAAAAAAAUGUUUUUUCAGAAAUUCACUAAAUUGCUUUAUUUCUUUUUGCAAUUAUUUUUGCAAAUGAACUUUCUAUUUUCUUGGCUCAAAUAUUUCAGAAAUUUGCCCGCACUUUGGAGGGUCAUUUUCCUCUGCUCUCUCUCUUGCGUGCAAGAGAGUAUUUCUCCGGGCAUUUCUUGCACGAGAAAACAAAUAAAAAUGCAAGAGAAUUCAACUGCAAAUAUCUCCGUUCAAAUUAUUUAUAGUUGAAGAAGUCAUGUCAUCUUCUCUAGUUGCUUUUAAAAGAUUGAAUUUGAAUUCACCGGAGAAGGGGAAAGUCAUUUUAUUCCCUCUCAUUCAAAAGUUUCGAAAAGUUUCAAAUUUCACACAAGUUUCAGUCACUCAGCAAACAGACAAACUAUCAAUCUAAUAAUUAUAUUAACAUUCCAAAAUUUAUAAUUUUGGGAUGUUACAUUCUUUUUCAUUCUAGGAUGACUAGGUGCCUCGGUGCUAACUCCUUGAGAAUCUUGUUCAAUUCUCUUAGGAUGACCCUCAUGAUACAAAGGUUCCUGGGUCAUUCUACCGCCUCUAGUGAUGACUCUGACAGAAUUGCCAUUCAACCCAUUGGGCAAGUCAUUUUGAGCCUUAAGUACUUGUUCUACUUGAGUAGUAACCAUAGAGGCAUGUUUACUCAAUAGCUUAAGAUCAUUGAUGUUUCUGUCCACACAAGCACUUAAAUGACUAAGCAUACGAGCAUUCUGUUCAAAUUGUCUGCUAACAUAGUCAUUGAAACUUUGUUGCUUGGCAACAAAGUUAUCAAAUUCAUCCACGCAUAAGAUAGCAGGUUUAUCAAAAUGAAUAUCACUCUCAUUGAAUCUACGAAGAGAAUUUACCUCUACUACCUGUGUCGGGUUAUCAAGACCAUUGAUCUCUUCGAUAGGUGGUAGAUUUUUGACAUCUUCAGAUUGAAUGCCUUUCUCUUUCAUAGAUUUCUUAGCUUCUUGCAUAUCUUCAGGAUUGAGGAAUAGAAUACCUCUUUUAUUUGGAGUUGGCUUCGGAGGUGGUUCGGGAAUAGUCCAAGCAUUCUCACUGCACAAGAUAUUGUUCAAUAGGAUCUCAGCUUGUUCUACAGUUCGUUCCCUAAAACACAACCGACACAACUAUGUAGGUGGUCCUUAGAAGCAUCGGUUAGUCCAUUAUAGAAGAUAUCAUGUAUUUCAUUCUUCUCAAGAGGGUGAUCAAGCAAAGCAUUCAAUAGCUGGACGAGCCUCCCCAAGCUUGUGGGAGACUCUCUUCUUCAACUUGCGCAAAGUUGUAUAUCUCCUGCAAGGCAGCUUGCUUCUUAUGGGCAAGGAAAUAUUUCUCAGAGAAGUAGUAGAUCAUAUCCUGGGGACUAUGCACACAACCAGGAGCAAGAGAAGUGAACCAAGUCUUAGCAUCAUCCUUUAGAACCGAAGAAUUGGAGCGUGUGGAGCCGACAAGCCCACCAGGCGUGGCCCCCCUGGCCGCGCCUGGCAGGCUUGUGGGGCCCACGUUGCUCCACCGCCUCCAAUUCCAGCUCUAUUUAGUCCCUUUUGUCCGGAAAAAAAAUCGAGGAAAAAUGUUCAUCGCGUUUUACAAUACGGAGGCGCCACCACCUCCUGUUCUUCCUUUGGAGGGCAGAUCUAGAGUCCGUUCUAGGCUCCGGAGAGGGGAGAUCGUCGCCAUCGUCAUCACCAACCAUCCUUCAUUGCCAAUUCCAUGAUGCUCUUCACCGUUCGUGAGUAAUCUCAUCGUAGGCUUGCUGGACGGUGAUGGGUUGGAUGAGAUCUAUCAUGUAAUGAAAUUAUUUUUGACGCGGAUUGAUCCCUAGUAUCCACUAUGUUCUGAGAUUGAUGUUGCUACUANNNNNNNNNNNNNNNNNNNNNNNNNNNNNNNNNNNNNNNNNNNNNNNNNNNNNNNNNNNNNNNNNNNNNNNNNNNNNNNNNNNNNNNNNNNNNNNNNNNNNNNNNNNNNNNNNNNNNNNNNNNNNNNNNNNNNNNNNNNNNNNNNNNNNNNNNNNNNNNNNNNNNNNNNNNNNNNNNNNNNNNNNNNNUUAGAUCCUAUCUUACAAGUUGUAGUCACCUACUAUGUGUUAUGACCCGGCAACCCUGAAGUGACAAUAGCCGGAACCACUCCGGGAGAUGACCAUAGUAUGAGGAGUUCAUGUAUUCACCAAGUGUUAAUGAGUUGGUCCGGUUCUUUAUUAAAAGGAGAACCUUAAUAUCCCGUAGUUUCCAUUAGGACCCCGCUGCCAUGGGAGGGAUGGACAAUAGAUGUCAUGCAAGUUCUUUUCCCUAAGCACGUAUGACUACAUACGGAAUACAUGCCUACAUUAAAUUGACGAACUGGAGCUAGUUACUUAUCUGUCCGUGUUAUAACUGUUGCAUGAUGAAUCGCAUCCGGCACAAUCAUCCAUCACCGAUACAAUGCCUACGAGUCUUUUACUACUGGUCCUUGCUACGCUAUUUUUUUGCCACUGGUGUCACUACUGCUACUGUUACUCUGUUCCUACUGCUAUUACUUUGUGCUACU